rnacentral:rRNA from 1 species
UUGGUGGGCCAUUACCCCGCCAACUAGCUGAUAGGCCGCGAGACCAUCUCGAAGCGACCGCUUGCAAGCAGAGGCGGUCUUUAACAACUGUCCCCAUGCGGGGCCGCUGCAUCAUGCGGAAUUAGCCCAGAUUUCUCUGGGUUAUUCCCCACUCCGAGGCAGGUUCCUCACGUGUUACGCUCCCGUUCGCCACUCUACUCGGGGUCCCCAGCAAGCUGGUUUCCCCUUUCGCGUACGACUUGCAUGUGUAAGGCACGCCGCCAACGUUCGUCCUGAGCCAGGAUCAAACUCUAAUCUAGAUGCAUCGCAGUUACC